UACAGAGGUCUCAAGCGUUGUUCGGAUUCAUUGGGCGUAAAGGGUGCGUAGGUGGGCAAGUAAGUCAGUGGUGAAAUCUCCGGGCUUAACCCGGAAACUGCCAUUGAUACUAUUUGUCUUGAAUACUGUGGAGGUCAGCGGAAUAUGUCAUGUAGCGGUGAAAUGCUUAGAUAUGACAUAGAACACCAAUUGCGAAGGCAGCUGGCUACACAAAUAUUGACACUGAGGCACGAAAGCGUGGGGGAUCAAA
rnacentral:rRNA from 1 species